rnacentral:rRNA from 1 species
UUUAAUUCGAAGCAACGCGCAGAACCUUACCAUCCCUUGACAUGGCAUGUUACCUCGAGAGAUCGGGGAUCCUCCUCGGAGGCGUGCACACAGGUGCUGCAUGGCUGUCGUCAGCUCGUGUCGUGAGAUGUUGGGUUAAGUCCCGCAACGAGCGCAACCCACGUCCUUAGUUGCCAUCAUUCAGUUGGGCACUCUAGGGAGACUGCCGGUGAUAAGCCGCGAGGAAGGUGUGGAUGACGUCAAGUCCUCAUGGCCCUUACGGGAUGGGCUACACACGUGCUACAAUGGCGGUGACAGUGGGACGCGAAACCGCGAGGUUGAGCAAAUCCCCAAAAGCCGUCUCAGUUCGGAUUGCACUCUGCAACUCGGGUGCAUGAAGGCGGAAUCGCUAGUAAUCGUGGAUCAGCACGCCA